rnacentral:rRNA from 1 species
UACGGGGGGAGCAAGCGUUGUUCGGAUUUACUGGGCGUAGAGGGCGCGUAGGCGGCCACCGCAAGUCAAUUGUGAAAUCUCCGGGCUUAACUCGGAAAGGUCAACUGAUACUGCGGGGCUAGAGUGCGGAAGGGGCAACUGGAAUUCUCGGUGUAGCGGUGAAAUGCGUAGAUAUCGAGAGGAACACCUGCGGCGAAGGCGGGUUGCUGGGCCGACACUGACGCUGAUGCGCGAAAGCCAGGGGAGCGAACGGG